rnacentral:rRNA from 1 species
ACUAAUAUUAGCCCACCCAACACUAAAUCCAAUUAUUCAACGCAAAUAAAUUAAAACAUUCACCAUAUCCUUACUAGUAUAGGCGAUAGAAAAUUGACUGUGGCGCUAUAGAGAAAGUACCGCAAGGGAAACCUGAAAGAAUAAUUAAAAGUAAUAAAUAGCAAAGCUUAAUCCUUGUACCUUUUGCAUAAUGAUUUAACUAGACUCAAUUUAGCAAAAAGAAUUUCAGUUAAACACCCCGAAACCAGACGAGCUACCUAUGAGCAGCUUUAUAGAGCAAAAUCAUCUAUGUGGCAAAAUAGUGAUGAGACCCCUAGGUAGAGGUGAAAAGCCUAACGAGCCUGGUGAUAGCUGGUUGUCCAGAACGGAACUUUAGUUCUAACUUAAACUUACCUCACUAAACUAAAAAUUAGAAUGUAAACUUAAGUAGUAUUCAAAAAGGGUACAGCCUUUUCGAAACAGGCUACAACCUUUAUUAGAGAGUAAAUAAAUGAAAAAACCAUAGUUGGCCUAAAAGCAGCCAUCAAUUAAGAAAGCGUUCAAGCUCAACAACCAUAACCCACCCUAAUUUCAUAAAUUAGCAAUUAACUCCUAAUUUUACACUGGACUAUUCUAUUAAUUAAUAGAAGAAAUACUGUUAAUAUGAGUAACAAGAAUUUAUUCUCCGUGCACAGCUGUAUAUCAGAACGAAUACAUCACUGAUAGUUAACAAAAUUAGAACGUACCCAAAACAAUUAACAUAUUCAUAGACUAAAUUGUUAAACCAACACAGGAGUGCAACCCCACGGAAAGAUUAAAAAGAGUAAAAGGAACUCGGCAAACAUAAACCCCGCCUGUUUACCAAAAACAUCACCUCUGGCAUUAACAGUAUCAGAGGCACUGCCUGCCCAGUGACAUUAGUUUAACGGCCGCGGUAUCCUGACCGUGCAAAGGUAGCAUAAUCACUUGUUCUCUAAAUAAGGACUUGUAUGAAUGGCCACACGAGGGUUUAACUGUCUCUUACUUUCAAUCAGUGAAAUUGACCUUCCCGUGAAGAGGCGGGAAUAUAACAAUAAGACGAGAAGACCCUAUGGAGCUUCAAUUAACCAGUUUACGAAAACUAAAAUUCACCCCACAGGGAAUAACAACAUAUUUUUCGAUGAUCUGGUAAUUUAGGUUGGGGUGACCUCGGAAUAUAAAAAAACUUCCGAGUGAUUUUAAUCUAGACCCACAGGUCGACAUAAAAUAUCACUUAUUGAUCCAAACUAUUGAUCAACGGAACAAGUUACCCUAGGGAUAACAGCGCAAUCCUAUUUUAGAGUCCAUAUCGACAAUAGGGUUUACGACCUCGAUGUUGGAUCAGGACAUCCCAAUGGUGCAGCAGCUAUUGAUGGUUCGUUUGUUCAACGAUUAAAGUCCUACGUGAUCUGAGUUCAGACCGGAGUAAUCCAGGUCGGUUUCUAUCUAUUAUAAGCUCCUCCCAGUACGAAAGGACAAGAGGGGCAAGGCCCACUUAAAACAAGCGCCUUCACAAUCAAAAGAUGAUAUAAUCUUAAUCUAGUAAUAAUUAACUAAACCAACCCAAGAUAAGGGUUA